rnacentral:lncRNA from 1 species
GCCUUGGAGACUUAUCUAGUACAACCUUAUCUUUUUGACAGAAGAGGAAACUGAGGCUCAAGGUGGGAGAAGGCACUUGCCCAGGGUUGAACAGAUAGGAACAGAAGAAGAAUUCAAACCCAAGACCUUCAUCUCUCAGUCCCACAUUCUUCCCAAUACAGCCAGCGGUGAGUAGGAUUUCCCAUUGGCUUCCUUGGCCUGUAGAUGCCAGGACCAGCAUCUUCUUCUCUUCCAUCUGCCCAGCGGAUCCCUCCCAUGCACCACCAAGUCCAGUGGGGUCAGGCGUACGGUACCGCUAAGUCAGCGAUGGAAAUUCCACUGGACAGGAUGAGGGGAGCCUGUGUGACCUCUUCUGGGUGUGGAUGCCUUACCAUCUCCCUUGUCAGUCUCACGCAUCAGCA